AUGCGAUCUCCUCGGCCGGCGCGGCUCGCUGCCGUCGCGCUUCUCCUCGCGGCGCUCGCCGCGGCCGUGGGCGCCCCCGCCGCGGCCGCGGCCAGCAGAGACGGGUACGGGCGCACGAGGAGGCUGCGCAUGAGGGGCAAGGUCGUCGAGAUGUUUUAUCAUGCUUAUGACAACUACAUGGCGUAUGCAUUUCCUCAUGAUGAAUUGAAGCCUCUUACUAAAGGCUUCACUGACUCCCUCAGUGAGCUUGGCAACUUAAAUCUUGAGCACUUGCCACAGGAUUAUAAUGGAUCAGCAUUGACACUAGUUGAGUCAUUAUCAAGUCUUGUUGUCUUAGGUAACCUAACAGAAUUUGACAGAGGAGUUAGUUGGCUUUCAGAGAACCUAACUUUUGACGUUGAUGCUCGAGUUAAUCUUUUUGAGUGUAACAUAAGACUUCUUGGGGGGCUUAUUUCUGCUCAUAUUCUUGCAAAGGACUAUAGCAGUCAGAAUAAAGAUGGAGUAUAUCAGAACCAACUGCUACAUCUUGCUGAAAAUUUAGGCAGCCGGUUUCUGCCAGCAUUCGAGACCCCUACUGGAUUGCCGUAUGCAUGGAUCAAUCUUAAGUAUGGAGUGAUGGAGAAUGAGACAACUGAAACGAGCACAUCAGGAUGUGGCUCCCUUAUCCUGGAAAUGGGUGCAUUGUCACGUUUGACCGGUGAUCCUAGAUAUGAAGCUGCAGCUCUUCGUGCUCUUCGCAAGUUAUGGAGCAUGAGAAGCUCACUGAAUCUUGUAGGCUCAACACUAGAUGUUUUGUCUGGCAACUGGAUUGAAUAUUCGUCAGGCAUUGGUGCUGGAGUUGAUUCAUUUUACGAGUAUUUGAUUAAGGCAUAUGUCCUUUUUGGAAGUGAUGAGUACUGGGAUAUGUUUCACUCUGCUUACCUAGCAGUGCAGAAGUAUUUCCGACAUGGGCCAUGGUACCAUGAGGCCGAUAUCAGGACUGGAGAAGCAACACACUGGCAACUAACUAGCCUCCAGGCCUUCUGGCCUGGUGUUCAGACACUACUAGGAGAUGUUGCUGCUGCAAAUCUGUCACAUCGUGAAUUUUACAAUGUAUGGCAAAGGUUUGGCGUCCUUCCUGAAAGAUAUCUGUUAGACUACGGAAUUUUGCAUCCUACAGAGAAGUACUAUCCUUUACGUCCAGAGUUUGCUGAGUCUACAUUUUAUCUUUAUCAAGCAACUAAAGAUCCUUGGUACCUAGAAGUGGGUGAAGCUAUAAUUGGAUCACUUAAUUACUACACCAAAGUGGAAGGAGGUUUUGCUAGUAUCAGAGAUGUUUCAACAAUGAACCUUGAAGAUCAUCAACACAGCUUCUUUCUUUCAGAAACGUGCAAAUAUCUUUUUCUCCUUUACGACGAUUCAUUCUUGAGGAACAAAAAUUACAUAUUUACAACAGAGGGCCACCCCCUUCCAGUAAUGAGCACGUGGCACGAGAAAAUUCCUCGACUGGAUGUUCCCACCAAUUGGACAGUUGUUAAGGACGGCAACCAACCGAUUCGUGCGAGCGCAUUGUCAUCCAAAGUCUGUCCAGAGACAAUUUUCCGGCAGAACGUUGGCUCCCCGUGGGAGAGUGCGUGCCACAUACCAGAUGUGUUCCCUAGCCACAGAUGCAGAGCCGACGAUGACUGUGGGAUAGAGUCAGUAACAUGCAAGAGGAGAACAUGCAGUAUGGCUGGAUACUGCGGCUUGUGGCUGGCGGUUUACUAG
rnacentral:rRNA from 1 species